rnacentral:misc_RNA from 1 species
UCCGUGGACAAUUUAGAGUUCCCGCCUGAAUUUCAUGGACAUUAUGGGAUUCAUGGACAUCGUCAUGUCCACGAAUUUAUUUCUGUAGUUUCGCUUCGCUCCGUGGACAAUGGUUUGCAUGACGUAUGGACAGACUUUUCAUGGACAUGAUGUCGUGUCCAUAAAUUCACACCUAUUUUAGCCCGCUCAAAGAUGUCAUAGCUUUUUUUAACACCACGUGGCGCCCCAAUCGACCGAGUAUGUUACUCUGCCUCUGAUUGGUCAGCUUGUGCAAGGUCGUUUUUGAUUGGUUGUUGAAGUCGUGUCCACGCAGUGCUCUUGUUCUGCUAACUUUGUCCAUGCAAUGUUAGGAAUAUUUACAAAUUUUGUGACGUCAUAGCAGACAGCUGGCUUAUUGUUCGCGAAACGACAUGUGGGAGACGUUGAGACGACGCCGGCCAUGCGCCAUUUCAAUUUCAGUUAUUGUGCAAGGCCGAGUUUCUUAGUGUUUUUUGACACAGCAUUGGUGUAUGUUGAAGUCGGCAUUUUCGCUGGAGUGAAGAUUAGUGAGUUUUGAUUUCGUUGGAGAGGAAUAUGAAAAGAAAGGUCUCGACGUGGCUCAACUUUGGAGCCAGCGUGUUGGGUCCCGGCUUCCCGCCAUUCACCGGCGGACCGUUCCGCUUCGUGGACCGCAUCGGCCCCGCACAGCUGGUCAAGGGCAUUAAGCGCUUUGUCGCUGUCUACAGCGUCGGAUUCGAGCUGGUCGGGCACAAGUCGCGCUCUCCACGUGACCGAGCCCGCCCUUAGGCGACCGAUGCCCGCCAACCGGCCGCCGCGCGGACGGAGGUGACGCUGCCGGCCAUCGAGCGGCUCAUCGAGGCGGGCAACGCUCGGAUCAUCGAGACACUGGAAAAGAGACUCGCCCAGCAGGAGCGGAGAAUAGAGAUCCUCGAGGCAGAAUGUCAGGAGACAGAUGUCAUGAUGAUCCGCCGGGAAAUGACAUCCCAGAAAGAGGAGACCAGGGAGCUUAAGGAAAAGGUCGACGGAAUCAACAGAAACCGGCGCAUGUCCUCACUUAUCAUCACGUGUGAGGAAUUCGGUGACAGGAAGCCCGGGGAGGACAUUGAGCUCAUGACGGUGCAAGCGCUCAACAAGCGUUUCCCUGACUUGAAAUUAACGACAGGUGACAUCCAGGUCGCCCAUCGUCUUCAGGGGAAUGGUAAAGUGAUCGCCAAGUUUGUCAAACGGACAGUGAGGGACGAACUGUUUGAGCAACGGUUCGAGCUGGCCGGACGGAGGGGCGGUGCCCGACCGGGCAGGUGGAGUGCGUCAGGUGGCUGGGAGAUGGAAGCACUUUACCUCAGCGAGUCUCUGACACCCGAGUCCCAGCGCAUGUACAAUCUGCUACUCACUGCGCGUAAACAAGAAUGAGGAUCCAAGGUGGCAUCAGUUUUUACCAGGAGAGGCUACGUUUACUGCAGGAAGGUGAAAGGCGGCGAGAACAUCCGGAUACAGGACUGGUGUCACCUUCAGCGCAUCGUGCACACUGCAUAGCAGUCCGGGUGGGUCGCCGGUGGCGGCGGAGGCGGCUGGCGCGCCGGGCGGCGGGCGGCCGGGCGGCCCGCCCGCCCGGGAUCGGGCGGUGCCGCGCGGUUCCCGGCCUGCCCGUGAGGAGCGGAGCGCCGCCCGGCCGGGACCGGCGCCGCCGCUCUCCCCGGGCGGAGCUGCGGGGGAGCCGAGCCGGCGCACGGUAGCUGCUGGUGCACCUGCACCGGGUACAGGGCCGGAGGCGAGCAGCAGUGAUCCGGUAGGUGCGACACGUGACCGAUGUACGGCCGAGCGGACGGGUCGGGCGGGGGCGGGGCCGAGCUCGGUCGGGGGCUCCGGCUCCGGCUCCGGCUCCGGCUCUGGCUCUGGCCCUGGGCCGGCUCUGGACACUGUCCGGGACGACUGUCAGAGCUGUCCCCCGCUGAGCCGAGUAGAGUCUGGCUGUGAUCCCCUCGCCACGGGGUGAAUUUGAAUGUAUCGGGAAGUAUUCACUCUAGAGAGGGGGCGAGUACACUCAUGUCCGUUCGCUGUGUGAUAAAUGACGGCACUUCAGGUGCGUUCCUUGUCUGGCGGGGAGGUGUGCGGGAUAACCGUGAGGUUUUGGGGCAGGGUUGAUUAGUGUCACUUAUAAGUGGGAUAAGGGUGGCAAAAUCGGCUGAGUGGGGAAGAAAGACUAUGAUCAGGGAUUUGCCCUUACAUGAUAAAUAAGUGAGAAAGUGCAUUUAAAGUUAUUACACGAAUGAAAGUUUUGAACACCGUGCAAUGUGCAUUGUUAGUAGAAGUUUUCUCUUUCUUUUUCUCUUUCUGUUGCCGGCUACUCGUGCGGUCGGCUUGAACUGAUUAAAGGUAUGCACUUUCAUUACAGCUAUUCAAGCCAGCAUAAAGUGUCCCGGAGAAUCGAGAUGGUAACGAGAAUCGAGUUGGUAACGUUGAUCGCCUUAGGAAAUGACCAGUGGCUCAUGCAGGUACCGGUAAAUGUCUAUUAUCAUUUGAUUGUUCACCUGGAGAACGGUGACGUGUCACCCCGCAGACACUUGAUGAUGUGGGAAGCUUGAGAGAGCAGCGGUCUCGCCGCUUGCCGCCCGUGGCCCGCCCUUUGUGUGGCCCACAUGUGAUACUACCGAAAGGGUAUGCAUGGGAAGCAGCUCCGCGUGUGUGCCAGUGCUAUGCGUAUUCAGAGAAAAAUAUAUAUUCUGGGUGGUCAA